GAAGUUUUAGAUUAAAGGCGGCACCAAAAUAGAUUAAAACAUCUUGUUGAUUGGCAUGAAUAUGAUAUUAAUGAAUGUACAUAGGAGCUGGUAAAGAAUCUUGCAAAUGCAACAAAGAAGAUUGACGCUUUUUAUUAAUGACAUCUAUGAAAACUUAGAUAAAGAAUAGAAAAUUUUUAGCAUAAAAAAAAUAAGAUCUAAAAAAGAUAGCAUUCUAUCUUCUAUUCUUGUUUGUAACUUUUAUAUAAAUAUGAGGCUGUCGGGGUAGAGAGAGUUUGUCUCAAGAAAGCAUUAGACUAUUGGGUGCCACUAAUUCUUCAAUCAAGUCUUAAGAUAAGAAAAACAAGGUUU
rnacentral:lncRNA from 1 species